UUUGGGGGAAUGAAAAGCUUCGGCUGACUUGUUAGUUUUAAUUAGUGUAAAAUAUAUUAAUAAUUAAAAAGUUAAAAAAUAAAAUUUUUAAAUUUGCUGACGGUUAAGUGACUUUGUCACAUAAAGUUCUAGAUAGUAUACUGAUUAUGACUAUUUACUAUCUAUGUGUCUUGACCAAAUUACGUGCCAGCAGUCGCGGUAAUACGUAGAAGACUAGUGUUAUUCAUCUUUAAUAGGUUUAAAGGGUACCUAGACGGUUUAAUUAGUCCAAACUAGGAUACGAUUAAACUAGAGUUAUAUAUGAGAAAGUGAGUAUUUGUGGAGUAGAGUUUAAAUUCGAUGAUACCAUGAGGACUGGUAAAGGCGAAAGCAACCAUCUAUCUAAUAACUGACGUUGAGGGACGAAGGCUCGGGUCGCAAAUAGGAUUAGAUACCCUAGUAGUCCAAGCAGAAAAUAAUGAAUGCCAUAGACUAGAUAAUUAUUUAGUUUAUAAAAGAAAGAGCAAGCAUUCCACCUCAAGAGUAAUGUGGCAACACAGGAACUGAAAUCAUUAGACCGUUUUUGAAACCAGUAGUGAAGUAUGUUAUUUAAUUCGAUAAUCCUCGAAAAACCUUACCACAAUUUGAAUAUUAUCGGAUAAAUUUUAUCUAGAUAUUACAAGUGUUGCAUGGCCGUCUUCAGUUAAUGUCGUGAGAUAUAGGUUUACUCCUUUAAAUUAGCGGAAACCCUUGCUUUAUUUAUGUCGAUUUGAAAAUAAAGCAGUUCGCCAUUACAUUGGUUAUGAUAACAGGGAU
rnacentral:rRNA from 1 species